AGAGUUUGAUCCUGGCUCAGGAUGAACGCUGGCGGCGUGCUUAACACAUGCAAGUCGAACGAAGCACCUUAUUCUGAUUUCUUCGGAAUGAAAAAUUUGGUGACUGAGUGGCGGACGGGUGAGUAACGCGUGGGUAACCUGCCUCAUACAGGGGGAUAACAGUUAGAAAUGACUGCUAAUACCGCAUAAGACCACAGUACCGCAUGGUGCAGGGGUAAAAACUCCGGUGGUAUGAGAUGGACCCGCGUCUGAUUAGGUAGUUGGUGGGGUAACGGCCUACCAAGCCGACGAUCAGUAGCCGACCUGAGAGGGUGACCGGCCACAUUGGGACUGAGACACGGCCCAAACUCCUACGGGAGGCAGCAGUGGGGAAUAUUGCACAAUGGGGGAAACCCUGAUGCAGCGACGCCGCGUGAGCGAUGAAGUAUUUCGGUAUGUAAAGCUCUAUCAGCAGGGAAGAAAAUGACGGUACCUGACUAAGAAGCACCGGCUAAAUACGUGCCAGCAGCCGCGGUAAUACGUAUGGUGCAAGCGUUAUCCGGAUUUACUGGGUGUAAAGGGAGCGUAGACGGAGUGGCAAGUCUGAUGUGAAAACCCGGGGCUCAACCCCGGGACUGCAUUGGAAACUGUCAAUCUAGAGUACCGGAGAGGUAAGCGGAAUUCCUAGUGUAGCGGUGAAAUGCGUAGAUAUUAGGAGGAACACCAGUGGCGAAGGCGGCUUACUGGACGGUAACUGACGUUGAGGCUCGAAAGCGUGGGGAGCAAACAGGAAGAGAUACCCUGGUAGUCCACGCGGUAAACGAUGAAUGCUAGGUGUCGGGGAGCAAAGCUCUUCGGUGCCGCCGCAAACGCAUUAAGCAUUCCACCUGGGGAGUACGUUCGCAAGAAUGAAACUCAAAGGAAUUGACGGGGACCCGCACAAGCGGUGGAGCAUGUGGUUUAAUUCGAAGCAACGCGAAGAACCUUACCAAGUCUUGACAUCCCUCUGACCGGAACUUAACCGUUCCUUUCCUUCGGGACAGAGGAGACAGGUGGUGCAUGGUUGUCGUCAGCUCGUGUCGUGAGAUGUUGGGUUAAGUCCCGCAACGAGCGCAACCCCUAUCCCCAGUAGCCAGCGGUUCGGCCGGGCACUCUGAGGAGACUGCCAGGGAUAACCUGGAGGAAGGCGGGGAUGACGUCAAAUCAUCAUGCCCCUUAUGAUUUGGGCUACACACGUGCUACAAUGGCGUAAACAAAGGGAAGCGAACCUGCGAGGGUGGGCAAAUCCCAAAAAUAACGUCCCAGUUCGGACUGUAGUCUGCAACCCGACUACACGAAGCUGGAAUCGCUAGUAAUCGCGGAUCAGAAUGCCGCGGUGAAUACGUUCCCGGGUCUUGCACUCACCGCCCGUCA
rnacentral:rRNA from 1 species